rnacentral:misc_RNA from 1 species
UUUCCGUAGGUGAACCUGCGGAAGGAUCAUUAUUGUAUAACCGAGGUGCGAGGGCUGUCGCUGACUCGAAAGGUCGUGCACGCCCGAGUGCCCUCACACACAUCCAUCUCACCCCUAUGUGCACCACCGCGUGGUUCCCCCUUUGGCUUGUUCGGAGGGGGGCUUACGUUUUCACACAAACUUUGUAUGCAGUGUAGAAUGUAUUUUUUGUUUUUGCGAUCACGCAAUCAAUACAACUUUCAACAACGGAUCUCUUGGCUCUC